ACCUGCAUGCCAUACCAGUAUCUCUACAUAUUUGGUUAUGAGAAUAAUCAACACAUAUGGCAUACAACGACCUAUACUUGAUAUUGCUAUUGUCUUAGUAAUAGCGUAUUAUUUGGUCAUGAAAUAGUUUAAGGACUACGUGAUAAAUCUUUCUUUAUCGAUCAAAAUAAUCCUGAAGACUUCACAACACAGGAGUUCAUUAGAAGAUGUAACUUUGUGAUAAAAAAAAUCAAAUAACUUUUAUUAUUAUUCAAUUCAUAUACAUUUAUUAUUAGCACAAUCGUCAAACGAUUAGCUUUAGGAUAUAUUUUC
rnacentral:lncRNA from 1 species